rnacentral:rRNA from 1 species
GAUGAACGCUGGCGGCGUGCCUAAUACAUGCAAGUCGAGCGAACGGACGAGAAGCUUGCUUCUCUGAUGUUAGCGGCGGACGGGUGAGUAACACGUGGAUAACCUACCUAUAAGACUGGGAUAACUUCGGGAAACCGGAGCUAAUACCGGAUAAUAUUUUGAACCGCAUGGUUCAAAAGUGAAAGACGGUCUUGCUGUCACUUAUAGAUGGAUCCGCGCUGCAUUAGCUAGUUGGUAAGGUAACGGCUUACCAAGGCAACGAUGCAUAGCCGACCUGAGAGGGUGAUCGGCCACACUGGAACUGAGACACGGUCCAGACUCCUACGGGAGGCAGCAGUAGGGAAUCUUCCGCAAUGGGCGAAAGCCUGACGGAGCAACGCCGCGUGAGUGAUGAAGGUCUUCGGAUCGUAAAACUCUGUUAUUAGGGAAGAACAUAUGUGUAAGUAACUGUGCACAUCUUGACGGUACCUAAUCAGAAAGCCACGGCUAACUACGUGCCAGCAGCCGCGGUAAUACGUAGGUGGCAAGCGUUAUCCGGGAUUAUUGGGCGUAAAGCGCGCGUAGGCGGUUUUUUAAGUCUGAUGUGAAAGCCCACGGCUCAACCGUGGAGGGUCAUUGGAAACUGGAAAACUUGAGUGCAGAAGAGGAAAGUGGAAUUCCAUGUGUAGCGGUGAAAUGCGCAGAGAUAUGGAGGAACACCAGUGGCGAAGGCGACUUUCUGGUCUGUAACUGACGCUGAUGUGCGAAAGCGUGGGGAUCAAACAGGAUUAGAUACCCUGGUAGUCCACGCCGUAAACGAUGAGUGCUAAGUGUUAGGGGGUUUCCGCCCCUUAGUGCUGCAGCUAACGCAUUAAGCACUCCGCCUGGGGAGUACGACCGCAAGGUUGAAACUCAAAGGAAUUGACGGGGACCCGCACAAGCGGUGGAGCAUGUGGUUUAAUUCGAAGCAACGCGAAGAACCUUACCAAAUCUUGACAUCCUUUGACAACUCUAGAGAUAGAGCCUUCCCCUUCGGGGGACAAAGUGACAGGUGGUGCAUGGUUGUCGUCAGCUCGUGUCGUGAGAUGUUGGGUUAAGUCCCGCAACGAGCGCAACCCUUAAGCUUAGUUGCCAUCAUUAAGUUGGGCACUCUAAGUUGACUGCCGGUGACAAACUGGAGGAAGGUGGGGAUGACGUCAAAUCAUCAUGCCCCUUAUGAUUUGGGCUACACACGUGCUACAAUGGACAAUACAAAGGGCAGCGAAACCGCGAGGUCAAGCAAAUCCCAUAAAGUUGUUCUCAGUUCGGAUUGUAGUCUGCAACUCGACUACAUGAAGCUGGAAUCGCUAGUAAUCGUAGAUCAGCAUGCUACGGUGAAUACGUUCCCGGGUCU